rnacentral:rRNA from 1 species
GACGAACGCUGGCGGCAUGCCUAACACAUGCAAGUCGAGCGAGGUGAGUUCUUCGGAACGAUCCUAGCGGCGGACGGGUGAGUAACACGUGGGCAACCUGCCUCAUAGAGGGGAAUAGCCUUCCGAAAGGAAGAUUAAUACCGCAUAAGAUUGCAUCUUCGCAUGAAGAAGCAAUUAAAGGAGCAAUCCGCUAUGAGAUGGGCCCGCGGCGCAUUAGCUAGUUGGUGAGGUAACGGCUCACCAAGGCGACGAUGCGUAGCCGACCUGAGAGGGUGAUCGGCCACAUUGGGACUGAGACACGGCCCAGACUCCUACGGGAGGCAGCAGUGGGGAAUAUUGCACAAUGGGGGAAACCCUGAUGCAGCAAUGCCGCGUGAGUGAUGACGGCCUUCGGGUUGUAAAGCUCUGUCUUCGGGGACGAUAAUGACGGUACCCGAGGAGGAAGCCACGGCUAACUACGUGCCAGCCGCCGCCGUAA